rnacentral:rRNA from 1 species
GAUGAACGCUGGCGGCGUGCCUAAUACAUGCAAGUCGAGCGAACAGACGAGGAGCUUGCUCCUCUGACGUUAGCGUCGGACGGGUGAGUAACACGUGGAUAACCUACCUAUAAGACUGGGAUAACUUCGGGAAACCGGAGCUAAUACCGGAUAAUAUAUUGAACCGCAUGGUUCAAUAGUGAAAGACGGUUUUGCUGUCACUUAUAGAUGGAUCCGCGCCGCAUUAGCUAGUUGGUAAGGUAACGGCUUACCAAGGCGACGAUGCGUAGCCGACCUGAGAGGGGGAGCGGCCACACUGGAACUGAGACACGGUCCAGACUCAUACGGGAGGCAGCAGUAGGGAAUCUUCAGAAAUGGGCGAAAGCCUGACGGAGCAACGCCGCGUGAGUGAUGAAGGUCUUCGGAUCGUAAAACUCUGUUAUUAGGGAAGAACAAAUGUGUAAGUAACUAUGCACGUCUUGACGGUACCUAAUCAGAAAGCCACGGCUAACUACGUG